GCGGGUAGCGUGCUACUUCUUUUUCUCUCUCUCUCUCUCUCUCUCUCUCUCUCUCUAUAUAUAUAUAUAUAUAUAUAUAGUAGUAAUCAUUUCACUGAAAUCUGCUAAUUGCGAAUACUAUUCUAUUAGAUUGACCUUUUUUUUUUUGAGAGAGAGAGAGAUAGGUAGCAUGCUACCCGUUUCGUUUAUUUCAUUUACAAAAAUAAGUUUAGCUGGAAAUGUGAAUCAACUAAGAUUCGAACUUGGAUAUCGGGUAUCAACCUCCAAGCUUUUUGCCACUUGUUUUAGGCACGGUCAGUCAAUUAGAUUGACUUUUAGUGUAUGUUGGAGUUUGUCAUGAUAAGUCUCUUUUUUGUGAAUUU
rnacentral:lncRNA from 1 species